rnacentral:rRNA from 1 species
AGCGUACACGGUGGAUGCCCUGGCAGUCAGAGGCGAUGAAGGACGUGCUAAUCUGCGAUAAGCGUCGGUAAGGUGAUAUGAACCGUUAUAACCGGCGAUUUCCGAAUGGGGAAACCCAGUGUGUUUCGACACACUAUCAUUAACUGAAUCCAUAGGUUAAUGAGGCGAACCGGGGGAACUGAAACAUCUAAGUACCCCGAGGAAAAGAAAUCAACCGAGAUUCCCCCAGUAGCGGCGAGCGAACGGGGAGCAGCCCAGAGCCUGAAUCAGUGUGUGUGUUAGUGGAAGCGUCUGGAAAGGCGCGCGAUACAGGGUGACAGCCCCGUACACAAAAAUGCACAUGCUGUGAGCUCGAUGAGUAGGGCGGGACACGUGGUAUCCUGUCUGAAUAUGGGGGGACCAUCCUCCAAGGCUAAAUACUCCUGACUGACCGAUAGUGAACCAGUACCGUGAGGGAAAGGCGAAAAGAACCCCGGCGAGGGGAGUGAAAAAGAACCUGAAACCGUGUACGUACAAGCAGUGGGAGCACGCUUAGGCGUGUGACUGCGUACCUUUUGUAUAAUGGGUCAGCGACUUAUAUUCUGUAGCAAGGUUAACCGAAUAGGGGAGCCGAAGGGAAACCGAGUCUUAACUGGGCGUUAAGUUGCAGGGUAUAGACCCGAAACCCGGUGAUCUAGCCAUGGGCAGGUUGAAGGUUGGGUAACACUAACUGGAGGACCGAACCGACUAAUGUUGAAAAAUUAGCGGAUGACUUGUGGCUGGGGGUGAAAGGCCAAUCAAACCGGGAGAUAGCUGGUUCUCCCCGAAAGCUAUUUAGGUAGCGCCUCGUGAAUUCAUCUCCGGGGGUAGAGCACUGUUUCGGCAAGGGGGUCAUCCCGACUUACCAACCCGAUGCAAACUGCGAAUACCGGAGAAUGUUAUCACGGGAGACACACGGCGGGUGCUAACGUCCGUCGUGAAGAGGGAAACAACCCAGACCGCCAGCUAAGGUCCCAAAGUCAUGGUUAAGUGGGAAACGAUGUGGGAAGGCCCAGACAGCCAGGAUGUUGGCUUAGAAGCAGCCAUCAUUUAAAGAAAGCGUAAUAGCUCACUGGUCGAGUCGGCCUGCGCGGAAGAUGUAACGGGGCUAAACCAUGCACCGAAGCUGCGGCAGCGACACUAUGUGUUGUUGGGUAGGGGAGCGUUCUGUAAGCCUGUGAAGGUGUGCUGUGAGGCAUGCUGGAGGUAUCAGAAGUGCGAAUGCUGACAUAAGUAACGAUAAAGCGGGUGAAAAGCCCGCUCGCCGGAAGACCAAGGGUUCCUGUCCAACGUUAAUCGGGGCAGGGUGAGUCGACCCCUAAGGCGAGGCCGAAAGGCGUAGUCGAUGGGAAACAGGUUAAUAUUCCUGUACUUGGUGUUACUGCGAAGGGGGGACGGAGAAGGCUAUGUUGGCCGGGCGACGGUUGUCCCGGUUUAAGCGUGUAGGCUGGUUUUCCAGGCAAAUCCGGAAAAUCAAGGCUGAGGCGUGAUGACGAGGCACUACGGUGCUGAAGCAACAAAUGCCCUGCUUCCAGGAAAAGCCUCUAAGCAUCAGGUAACAUCAAAUCGUACCCCAAACCGACACAGGUGGUCAGGUAGAGAAUACCAAGGCGCUUGAGAGAACUCGGGUGAAGGAACUAGGCAAAAUGGUGCCGUAACUUCGGGAGAAGGCACGCUGAUAUGUAGGUGAAGUCCCUCGCGGAUGGAGCUGAAAUCAGUCGAAGAUACCAGCUGGCUGCAACUGUUUAUUAAAAACACAGCACUGUGCAAACACGAAAGUGGACGUAUACGGUGUGACGCCUGCCCGGUGCCGGAAGGUUAAUUGAUGGGGUUAGCCGCAAGGCGAAGCUCUUGAUCGAAGCCCCGGUAAACGGCGGCCGUAACUAUAACGGUCCUAAGGUAGCGAAAUUCCUUGUCGGGUAAGUUCCGACCUGCACGAAUGGCGUAAUGAUGGCCAGGCUGUCUCCACCCGAGACUCAGUGAAAUUGAACUCGCUGUGAAGAUGCAGUGUACCCGCGGCAAGACGGAAAGACCCCGUGAACCUUUACUAUAGCUUGACACUGAACAUUGAGCCUUGAUGUGUAGGAUAGGUGGGAGGCUUUGAAGUGUGGACGCCAGUCUGCAUGGAGCCGACCUUGAAAUACCACCCUUUAAUGUUUGAUGUUCUAACGUUGACCCGUAAUCCGGGUUGCGGACAGUGUCUGGUGGGUAGUUUGACUGGGGCGGUCUCCUCCUAAAGAGUAACGGAGGAGCACGAAGGUUGGCUAAUCCUGGUCGGACAUCAGGAGGUUAGUGCAAUGGCAUAAGCCAGCUUGACUGCGAGCGUGACGGCGCGAGCAGGUGCGAAAGCAGGUCAUAGUGAUCCGGUGGUUCUGAAUGGAAGGGCCAUCGCUCAACGGAUAAAAGGUACUCCGGGGAUAACAGGCUGAUACCGCCCAAGAGUUCAUAUCGACGGCGGUGUUUGGCACCUCGAUGUCGGCUCAUCACAUCCUGGGGCUGAAGUAGGUCCCAAGGGUAUGGCUGUUCGCCAUUUAAAGUGGUACGCGAGCUGGGUUUAGAACGUCGUGAGACAGUUCGGUCCCUAUCUGCCGUGGGCGCUGGAGAACUGAGGGGGGCUGCUCCUAGUACGAGAGGACCGGAGUGGACGCAUCACUGGUGUUCGGGUUGUCAUGCCAAUGGCACUGCCCGGUAGCUAAAUGCGGAAGAGAUAAGUGCUGAAAGCAUCUAAGCACGAAACUUGCCCCGAGAUGAGUUCU